rnacentral:rRNA from 1 species
UACGAAGGGGGCUAGCGUUGUCCGGAAUCAUUGGGCGUAAAGAGCUCGUAGGCGGCUCAGUAAGUCAGGUGUGAAAACUCCAGGCUCAACCUGGAGACGCCACCUGAUACUGCUGUGGCUAGAGUCCGGUAGGGGAGCAUGGAAUUCCUGGUGUAGCGGUGAAAUGCGCAGAUAUCAGGAGGAACACCGACGGCGAAGGCAGCACUCUGGGCCGGUACUGACGCUGAGGAGCGAAAGCAUGGGGAGCGAACAGG